AACGAACGCUGGCGGCAGGCCUAACACAUGCAAGUCGAGCGAAGCCUUCGGGCUUAGCGGCGGACGGGUGAGUAACGCGUGGGAACGUGACCUUUGCUACGGAAUAGCCCCGGGAAACUGGGAGUAAUACAGUAUGUGGCCUUCGGGGGAAAGAUUUAUCGGCAAAGGAUCGGCCCGCGUUGGAUUAGGUAGUUGGUGGGGUAAUGGCCUACCAAGCCGACAAUCCAUAGCUGGUUUGAGAGGAUGAUCAGCCACACUGGGACUGAGACACGGCCCAGACUCCUACGGGAGGCAGCAGUGGGGAAUCUUAGACAAUGGGGGAAACCCUGAUCUAGCCAUGCCGCGUGAUCGAUGAAGGCCUUAGGGUUGUAAAGAUCUUUCAGUGGGGAAGAUAAUGACUGUACCCACAGAAGAAGCCCCGGCUAACUCCGUGCCAGCAGCCGCAGUAAAAC
rnacentral:rRNA from 1 species